AAUGAACGUUGGCGGCGUGGAUUAGGCAUGCAAGUCGCGCGACAAGGAACCUUCGGGUUCUGGAGGAGCGGCAAACGGGGUAGUAAGGCAUCGGAACGUACCCUCUUGUUGGGAAUAGCCGCGGGAAACUGCGAGUAAUGCCCAAUAAUCCCUACGGGGCAAAGGUCCGCCGCAGGAGGAGCGGCCGAUGUGAUACCAGCUAGUUGGUGAGGUAAUGGCUCACCAAGGCUUAGACGUCUAGGGGGUGUGAGAGCAUGGCCCCCACCGCUGGGACGUGAGAUACUGCCACGACACCUACGGGUGGGCGUGCAGUCGA
rnacentral:rRNA from 1 species